GGUCCCGUGGUCCAGUGGCAGGACAUUCGCCGUCAAAUCGAAUGACCCGGGUUCGAUCCCCGGCGGGAUCA
rnacentral:tRNA from 1 species